rnacentral:rRNA from 1 species
GACGUAGGGUGCAAGCGUUGUCCGGAAUUAUUGGGCGUAAAGAGCUCGUAGGCGGUCUGUCGCGUCUGCUGUGAAAACUCGGGGCUUAACCCCGGGCCUGCAGUGGGUACCGGCAGACUAGAGUGCGGUAGGGGAGUCUGGAAUUCCUGGUGUAGCGGUGAAAUGCGCAGAUAUCAGGAGGAACACCGGUGGCGAAGGCGGGUCUCUGGGCCGUAACUGACGCUGAGGAGCGAAAGCAUGGGGAGCGAACAGG